rnacentral:lncRNA from 1 species
GCGGCACAUGCCAGCGGCUUUGGGGCCCGGUGUGACACGGGGGCAGGCGGCAUCCCCGGGCACGAGCGAGCGAUCCGUCCACGCCGCAUCUGUCUCUGAGCAGCUUGGCGCACGGGUCCGCUCCCUCCGGGCGGGAUGGACAGACAGACGAUGCCCAGGAAGUUGAGAUGCCUUGCUGGGUGCAGUGGGGUCAGACCGGAGAGUCUUCACUGAAGUCCUCAGCUCCAGCUCUGCACAGGCAGUCACAGCCCCACUGCCCUGGGAACCUUCAGCACCAAGUCUACACCACCACGCUGUGUGGACACAGAUCUGAGGAACCCAAGGCUGCUCAACGGACUCUUAGCUAAGGUCUUGCUACGGG